AUGGCCAUGGCCACCUUCGCUGCCACUCCCGCGCUCCUCUCCACCCCGCCCCUCAACCCCCCAGCCCCUCCAGUCCGGCCGCACCCGCCCCGCGCCUCUCCCCGCCUCCGCCUCCGCCUCCGAAUCCCGCGCCGCCGCCCCGUCACCGCCCCCGCAGCCGCCCACGCCGCCAGCUCCCUCUCCUCCGCCCGCGGCGACCCGCGCGAGGCGGAGGCGGCGGUGGCCGAGCUGCUGCGGGACCACGGCGCGUCGCCGGAGGACGCGGCCGCCAUCGCGGCGCGCGCGCCGGGGUACGCCGCCAUGCUGGCCGACGGCGUCAGGGAGCUGGACGAGCUCGGGCUCUGGGCGUCCUGGAGCGCCGGGGCGGGCGCGCGCGCCGGCGCCGAGAUGGGCGCGCUCGGGUUCGGCAGGAAGGUGUACUUCAUGGGGCGGAGCCGGCGCGACGGCGCCGUCGUCCCGCUCGUCGAGAGCCUCGGCGUGCGCCUCUCCUCCGCCAAGCUCAUUGCGCCCUACGUCGCCGCCGAGGGCCUCCCCGUGCUCAUCCGCAGGGCUAAGUUCUUGAAGGAAAUGCUGUUUUCAAGCAGUGGCUAUGAAACUCUAAUCGGACGGAAUGCUAAGCGCAUGAUGGCGCACUUGUCAAUACCCGCAGAUGAGGCACUCCAGAGUACGCUGUCAUUUUUUGAAAAAAUGGAGGCCAGACAUGGUGGUCUGAGCAUGUUGGCACAUGGGGAUGUGUCAUUUCCAUAUCUCAUCGAAUCAUUUCCAAUGCUUCUUCGAUGCUCAGAGGAGAAUCAUCUUAAGCCAUUAAUUGAUUUCCUCAAACACAUUGGAAUUCCCAAGCCAAGGAUUCCAUCAGUUCUGCUGGCAUUUCCUCCUAUUAUGCUUUCUGACGUCGAAAAGGAUAUCAAGCGAAGGAUUCAUGCCUGGGAGAAGGCUGGCAUAGAACAAGAAUAUAUUGGUCGGAUGUUGUUGAAGUAUCCAUGGAUUCUUUCAGCAAGUGUGAUAGAAAACUACAAGCAGGCGCUUUUGUUCUUCAACAGAAGAAAGAUUUCCAGUGCAUUUCUUGGUACCGCUGUCAAAAGUUGGCCUCACAUUCUGGGUUGUUCAACAACAAGAAUGAACUCAAUUCUGGUGCUGUUUGAUGAUCUGGGCAUCAGUAAGAAAAUGGUAGUUCCUGUUCUUACAUCAAGUCCACAGUUGCUGCUGAGAAAAGCUAACGAGUUUUUGCAGGUUGUUUCCUUUUUUGAAGAUAUGGGUUUCGAUAAGAAAGCAGUGGGAAAGAUUGUCUGUCGUUCUCCAGAAAUUUUUGCUUCAGAUGUGGAGAAUACCCUCAAAAAGAAAAUCGACUUUCUUAUUGACUUUGGUAUUUCCGAGCGUCACCUUCCUCGUAUCAUUAAGAAGUACCCAGAGCUUUUAUUGUUGGACAUAAAUCGCACACUGCUCCCCAGAAUGAAUUACUUUCUGGGGAAGGGCUUGUCUAAGAAAGAUGUCUGCUCAAUGAUCUCUAGAUUCUCCCCACUUCUGGGGUACAGUAUUGAGCAUGUUCUGAAACCAAAGCUUGAUUUUCUAUUGCAAACCAUGAAGAAACCACUUAAAGCGGUUGUGGAAUAUCCAAGGUACUUCAGCUAUUCUCUUGAGGGGAGGAUAAAGCCACGGUUUUGGAUAAUAAAGAGUAGAAACAUAGACUGCAGUCUGACAGACAUGCUUGCCAAAAACAAUGAGCUUUUUGCUGAAGAGUACCUUGGAAUAGAAACAUGA
rnacentral:rRNA from 1 species